rnacentral:rRNA from 1 species
GAUGAACGCUGGCGGCGUGCCUAAUACAUGCAAGUCGAGCGAACAGACGAGGAGCUUGCUCCUCUGACGUUAGCGGCGGACGGAUGAGUAACACGUGGAUAACCUACCUAUAAGACUGGGAUAACUUCGGGAAACCGGAGCUAAUACCGGAUAAUAUAUUGAACCGCAUGGUUCAAUAGUGAAAGACGGUUUUGCUGUCACUUAUAGAUGGAUCCGCGCCGCAUUAGCUAGUUGGUAAGGUAACGGCUUACCAAGGCAACGAUGCGUAGCCGACCUGAGAGGGUGAUCGGCCACACUGGAACUGAGACACGGUCCAGACUCCUACGGGAGGCAGCAGUAGGGAAUCGUCCGCAAUGGGCGAAAGCUUGACGGAGCAACGCCGCGUGAGUGAUGAAGGUCUUCGGAUCGUAAAACUCUGUUAUUAGGGAAGAACAAAUGUGUAAGUAACUAUGCACGUCUUGACGGUACCUAAUCAGAAAGCCACGGCUAACUACGUG